rnacentral:rRNA from 1 species
AGAGUUUGAUCCUGGCUCAGGACGAACGCUGGCGGCGUGCUUAACACAUGCAAGUCGAACGAUGAUGCCCUGCUUGCAGGGUGGAUUAGUGGCGAACGGGUGAGUAACACGUGGGUGAUCUGCCCCGCACUUCGGGAUAAGCCUGGGAAACUGGGUCUAAUACCGGAUACGACCCCCUGGUAGGUCAGGGGGUGGAAAGAUUUUAUCGGUGUGGGAUGAGCCUGCGGCCUAUCAGCUUGUUGGUGGGGCAAUGGCCUACCAAGGCGUCGACGGGUAGCCGGCCUGAGAGGGUGAUCGGCCACAUUGGGACUGAGACACGGCCCAGACUCCUACGGGAGGCAGCAGUGGGGAAUAUUGCACAAUGGGCGCAAGCCUGAUGCAGCGACGCCGCGUGGGGGAUGACGGCCUUCGGGUUGUAAACUCCUUUCGACAGGGACGAAGCGUUAUAGUGACGGUACCUGUAGAAGAAGCACCGGCUAACUACGUGCCAGCAGCCGCGGUAAUACGUAGGGUGCGAGCGUUGUCCGGAAUUACUGGGCGUAAAGAGCUCGUAGGUGGUUUGUCGCGUCGUCUGUGAAAUCCCGGGGCUUAACCUCGGGCGUGCAGGCGAUACGGGCAUAACUUGAGUGCUGUAGGGGAGACUGGAAUUCCUGGUGUA